UAAUGACUCUAAACCGUGCAAUACAAAUCC
rnacentral:piRNA from 1 species